rnacentral:rRNA from 1 species
CGGACGGGUGAGUAAUGUCUGGGAAACUGCCUGAUGGAGGGGGAUAACUACUGGAAACGGUAGCUAAUACCGCAUAACGUCGCAAGGACCAAAGAGGGGGGACCUUAGGGCCUCUUGCCAUCGGAUGUGCCCAGAUGGGAUUAGCUAGUAGGUGGGGUAACGGCUCACCUAGGCGACGAUCCCUAGCUGGUCUGAGAGGAUGACCAGCCACACUGGAACUGAGACACGGUCCAG